GAUGAAGAACGUAGCGAAAUGCGAUACGUAAUGUGAAUUGCAGAAUUCAGUGAAUCAUCGAAUCUUUGAACGCAUAUUGCACUCUUUGGUAUUCCGAAGAGCAUGCUUGUUUGAGUAUCAGUAAACACCUCAACCUCUUCUUGAUUUUUCAAAAGGAGGGUGGACUUGAGCUAUCCCAACAACCUUUACCGGUCGGCGGGCGGCUUGAAAUGCAGGUGCAGCUGGACUUUUAUCUGAGCUAAAAGCAUAUCUAUUUAGUCCUCGUCAAACAGGAUUAUUACUUUUGCUGCAGCUAACAUAAAGGAUAAUUGUCCUCUUUGCUGACUGAUGCAGGAUUUUACGACACUUUAUGUGUUGUUCAACUCGAUCUCAAAUCAAGUAAGACUACCCGCUGAACUUAAGCAUAUCAAUAAGCGGAGGA
rnacentral:misc_RNA from 1 species